AUUGAACGCUGGCGGCAUGCCUUACACAUGCAAGUCGAACGGUAACAGGUCUUCGGAUGCUGACGAGUGGCGGACGGGUGAGUAAUACAUCGGAACGUGCCCGACCGUGGGGGAUAACGAAGCGAAAGCUUUGCUAAUACCGCAUACGAUCUACGGAUGAAAGCAGGGGACCGCAAGGCCUUGCGCGAACGGAGCGGCCGAUGGCGGCUUAGGUAGUUGGUGGGGUAAAAGCUUACCAAGCCGACGAUCUGUAGCUGGUCUGAGAGGACGACCGGCCACACUGGGACUGAGCCACGGCCCAGACUCCUACGGGAGGCAGCAGUGGGGAAUGUUGGACAAUGGGCGAAAGCCUGAUCCAGUCAUGCCGCGUGCAGGAUGAAGGCCUUCGGGUUGUAAACUGCUUUUGUACGGAACGAAAAGACUCUGGUUAAUACCUGGGGCCCAUGACGGUACCGUAAGAAUAAGCACCGGCUAACUACGUG
rnacentral:rRNA from 1 species